AACAUUUAGACCCUUUGAAAAGAAAUGUUUGCAAUGGAUAUUAAUAAAUUCUAGCCAAUUUGUACGAUGUACAAUGCAGACAAUAUUUCUGCCUCCUAACGCACUAUUCGCUUAAAAGAAGAUGUGGGUAUUGUAUUUAUACCUAGAACAGAUUUAUUAUUAGUUGGCUAGUGUGUUAGUAGGAUAGCCAUUGGUAGUUAUAAAGUAUGAAGUCGUCAGGUAUUAAUAAUAGGAAUUGAUCAAAACUUAUACAUUUAUUGUGAUAUUUAUAUUGUGAAUUUAAGUAGUUAGAGUUUUGGUUGUUUAAUAAACGAAUUAAUGUGCUUA